UUCAGCAUUGCUGAGUGUUUCGAAUAAAACCGGAUUGGUGGAGUUUGCCAGGCGACUGAUAUCAGUGGGUCUGUCAUUAGUGGCAUCAGGCGGCACUGCCAAAACUCUCAGAGAUGCUGGACUCAAUGUCAGUCUUAUUUAGGUGGGGUUACUCUUCUUCGAGUAGCAGCUAAGAAUCACGCCAGAGUCACUCUAGUCUGUGAUCCAUCUGACUACGAUGUUGUUGAAUAGGAAAUGGAGUCCUCCGACAACCAUGAUAGCACAAAGGAAACACGCAAAACUCUCAAGGUUAGGGUUACCCUAACCCUAACUCAAGGCCUUCACACAUACUACUCAGUACGAUUAGGCCAUUUCUGAUUACUUCAGACGUGAAUACAGUGGCGGAAUUUCCUAGCUGCCCUUGGCUUGCGGUAUGGCAUGGACCCCCAUCAAGCACCUGCUCAGCUCUACACUUUACACCCAGCACGUCCAGUUACCGUGCUGAAUGGAUCUCCAGGAUUCAUUAACAUGUGUGAUGCUCUGAAUGCCUGGCAGCUGGUGAGAGAGUUAAAGACAGCUCUUGGGUUGCCAGCGGCCACUUCAUUUAAACACGUCAGCUCUGCCGGUAUGAACACACACUUGCUUCCCAGAUGCCUCAUCUUCAGUCAAAGGGAUGCCCACCACAGCUCCUGAGAGUGCCCUGUGAGACCUCAUUGUAGCCAGUAUCACAGUGAAGUACACUCAGCCCAACUCCGUGUGUUAUGUCAGGGUCUAGAUGAGGUUUGGAAGGGCCUUUUUGAAGAAGUUCCUGAGACUCAAUCAGAGGUUGAGAAGAACUGGAUCAGUUCUCUGCAGGCUGUGGCCCUCAGUUCUGAUGCUUUCUUCCCCUUCCGGGACAAUGUUGACCGUGCUAAACAGAGCGGUGUAUAUUGCUGCCCCCCCUGGCUCUACGGCGGAUGAGGUGGUCACCAACGCCUGCAAUGAGCUGGGUAUCACCCUGGUGCACAACAAAAUCCAUCUCUUCCAUCACUGAAAAGCACUGCAAAACAUCCAUUAGAAUACAAAUAUCUAGCUAGUUUCACUGUUACAAAAGUUAUUUUCUUUUUAUAUGCAUCUGUUACUGUAAACCUGAGUUGCUAGCCAUGUUUCAUAACUUGGUGUAAUAGCUAGCCUGUCCAUUUUUACAUUAAUUUAUUAGAAGUUUGCUAAAUUUCUCUUUUUAUUCAAAUCCUAAAGCCAACAGCAAAUAGACAUUUUUG